GAUGAACGCUAGCUACAGGCUUAACACAUGCAAGUCGAGGGGCAUCAGGAAGAAAGCUUGCUUUCUUUGCUGGCGACCGGCGCACGGGUGAGUAACACGUAUCCAACCUGCCCUUUACUCGGGGAUAGCCUUUCGAAAGAAAGAUUAAUACCCGAUGGUAUAAUUAUUCCGCAUGGUUUGAUUAUUAAAGGAUUCCGGUAAAGGAUGGGGAUGCGUUCCAUUAGGUUGUUGGUGAGGUAACGGCUCACCAAGCCUUCGAUGGAUAGGGGUUCUGAGAGGAAGGUCCCCCACAUUGGAACUGAGACACGGUCCAAACUCCUACGGGAGGCAGCAGUGAGGAAUAUUGGUCAAUGGGCGCGAGCCUGAACCAGCCAAGUAGCGUGAAGGAUGACUGCCCUAUGGGUUGUAAACUUCUUUUAUAUUAGAAUAAAGUGCAGUAUGUAUACUGUUUUGUAUGUAUAAUAUGAAUAAGGAUCGGCUAACUCCGUGCCAGCAGCCGCGGUAAUACGGAGGAUCCGAGCGUUAUCCGGAUUUAUUGGGUUUAAAGGGAGCGUANGUGGACUGGUAAGUCAGUUGUGAAAGUUUGCGGCUCAACCGUAAAAUUGCAGUUGAUACUGUCAGUCUUGAG
rnacentral:rRNA from 1 species